GAGGGAAGCCAGGGUUUGAACAGCAGCAACAGUUACAGAGAUAACCCAUGGGCUCCUGAGAGCAGAGAUUGUGACUUACUCAUCUUUGAUGUAGCCAAGUUCUAACAAACCUAAAUGUGCAGCCAUUUGUAAGAGAGGAUCAUGGAAUGAAUACGGGCAUUGAGUCAAGCAGUCUGUGUUCCACUGGCGGUGUGACCUGGGGCAGGCCAUUUCACCUCACUGAGCCUUAGUUUCCUCACCUGUAAAAUGUGAAAAAUAUCACCUUCCUUACCAGGCUUUUCUGAGGAUUUAAUGACAUCAUGUUCAGUGCCCAGUAUGGGUGGAUAAUACCCAGGAGUUUCCUCCUCUUCUCCUCCUAAGUUGACUUGAUGCCCCCCGCUGAAGAUCAUGGCUGAACUGGCUCAAUUCGGAUCCAGGACUCCUGGCUUUGUCUCUUCCCUAGUUGCCCACCACACCCAUGGACACCCUUAGGUAGUUUAUCCUUUUGGGACAACUGGAUUUAUUAGAAAAGGGUAUUCUGGGGUGGAAUAAGGCCCUUUUCAGUCCCCAUGGAGCCUUUUUGGAAGAUGAAGUUCUCAAACCCACAAGAGAAUUCAUAAGACGAGCACACCACCCACAGUUAGGUUUCCCUCUCAAGUGCUUUAUCUCCACGUGGGGCAAAUAGCUCUUUGUCUGCAUAUGUUAUUGGAGCUUUUGGAGUCCAGCCUUCAGAAGAGCUCUAAUUUUUGGAUUCAUAUCAGUUUAUUAGAGAAGCCUAGUUCUAAGGAUUAGCAAAUGGGUAGGUGCUCAGCCAGCCCAGAACAAGCAGAGCCAUGACAGAAGUUUCUGGAAUCUCACAGAGUCGGUGUCUUCAUGGACUCAGGGGGCCUAAAUCCAAUAGCCUGGAUUUGUCACUUUCCCUUAUUCCCUUAUCAAACUCUUCCCUUUUGGACAUCAGAGAAGGAAAGUACUUCCUGUAAGGGGGCAAUUUGCAAAGCUUCAUGGAAGUGGCAUUUGAGUGUGGCCUUAAAGGAUGUGUAGGAUUGGGAACCAUAGAUAUUUAGAGGAAGGCAUUCCUGGCAGAAGGAACAGCAGCAAAACACAGAAGUGGAAAUUAGUAGCAGCAUUAAUGGAGAAUAAUUUGGGGAAUAAGAUAUACAAAUGGAAUAAUAAAAAUAGCAUUAAUUAAACAUUGUGGGAGUCAUUCUGUAAGAUGGCCCCUGGUGAUCUCCGCCUCCUGUUCUUCAUGCCUUAUGUAACCGCUCUCCUUGAGUGUGGUCUGGAAUUACUGACUCACUUUCAAUGCACAGAAUGUAUCAGAAGUAAUGGGAUAUUCCUUCUGAGAAUAGAUUAUAAAAAAAGAGUGUGGCUUCCUUCCUGGCAUUUUCGCUUGCUCUCUCUUUAAUUGUGUGCUCCAAACAAAGCCAGCUGCCAUGUUGUGAGGAAGCCCUGUGUGGAGGACCACAUGGUGAGGA
rnacentral:lncRNA from 1 species